GCGUAUGACAAAACGCAUCGCAUUCUCAACAUCACCGUCAACUCUCACCACUCACACGAUUCUCCUCGUUUGCUC
rnacentral:tRNA from 1 species